CCUACGGGUGGCUGCAGUGGGGAAUAUUGGACAAUGGGCGCAAGCCUGAUCCAGCAAUGCCGCGUGUGUGAAGAAGGCCUUCGGGUUGUAAAGCACUUUUAUCAGGAACGAAAAGUUCGGGGCUAAUACCUCCGAAUGCUGACGGUACCUGAGGAAUAAGCACCGGCUAACUUCGUGCCAGCAGCCGCGGUAAUACGAAGGGUGCAAGCGUUAGUCGGAAUUACUGGGCGUAAAGCGUGCGUAGGUGGUUUCUUAAGUCCGUUGUGAAAGCCCUG
rnacentral:rRNA from 1 species